AGCACAUAGGAGUCAAAGCUAUGUAAUUUAUGCAGGUAUCUGUCACGCUUUUUUAACCGGCAAUUGAAGUUUCAAGCAAUGUGUCAUUACGUUCCUGCCUGUACGUUUGGGUUGCCUGUGUUGUACGUUAGUAAAACAAACAUGAACAACCACAUCAACCGACCACGAGGACAGAGUAUUUUGACAACACAAGAAAUAUGGAUGACUUUCCAUCCCUACCCACCGUAUUGAGCGCAUUCAUUGAUGCAGGAAUGGCGAAGUUUUGUUGAUUUCUAACUACGAAAUGGACAAGUAAGAAUGAUGCUGAAGGAAAAUUAUGGAAUCGAAACUUACACCGUGUUUCCUAAAACUUCUGGGGUGUACUUUAUUAAGGGUGAACAUAAAACCAUUUUCUCACGACAACCUUGUUGGGGGUUGGCAUGUUUAACAUUGUUAUACAAACAUCAAGUACGGUGUUAGUUACGGCGCAAAAGGCCAAGACAAGCAAUAAAAAUACUAUUAUAUGUAUAUGCUAUAAGCUUGAACUAGUUUCUUGUAUUUAUAAGAAUAGAGACCAACUUAGAACUGAUUUGUAGGAUGCCAGGGCUUAAGGUUGGUUUCCAUAUAGUCGUAACAGUCGUAAGGGUCGUAAAAGUCGUCUGAAAAAAUCCCUCGGGACCCUAGCGACUAUAUGAAAACACUCGAUGGGACGACCCUUACGGCAGACUACCUAAGCGACGGGUCGUUUCACAGUCGUCAGAUAUAGAACCAGUUCUUUCUCUACCGACUGUUACGACCUGAAAUGGGCGUGAUACGACUCAACUUUUUUUUAAUAGAAACACUCUUAAACGAGAAUGCACGGGACGUUUGGUUGUUUUCAACCUGAAACAAGCGUAAGGAGUUAUAUUAAAGAAGAACAACUUUGUUGAACAAUAGCUGCUCCAUCUUCUGGAAAAAAGUUUGAUCUCAAAAUCUGUGUCGUCGUCUCUUUCUUUUCUCCUUCGUAUAUACCGUGUUUACUCGAAUAAGCGCCCCGGCGCUCAUUAAAUUUUUCGACUGUCAGACGGGGCUUAUUCGACGGAGGCGCUUAUUUAAAAGGACAAAUUUCGAAAAAAAGGCCGAAGUGUUUUUAUUAAUUUAAUAUCAAUUUUAAACUACAUCAGUUUCUUUUCUCCAUAUCAUUAAUGCGACUUGAAACAGCUUUUUUUUCUAUUUUCAUCCAUUAAAUACUCUCUUUCUUGUCCUUUCUAUGAGCUCCAGUGCUUUCGUAGAACUACAUUAUGAUAGUCAGUUUACUCAGUUACAUAAAACCUUGGGAAGGGAGGGUGGCGCUUAUUAAUAGUUUUGGUUCAAAGGGGGCGCUAAUUCGGGGGAGGCGCUUAUUUGAGGGAGGCGUUUAUUCGAGUAAAUACGGUACGCGCAAAGAAGCAGAUAACAAACCAAAAGCCUCGCUCUUUCGACGCCUUUAUGUUUGUUUUUGGCGCGCAAAGACUUGAAAGUCUCAGUCUCCGCGCAUACGACCGGUACGACGAAAUGGAAACCAACAAACAUUAAGGUCGUAUCGGUCGUACGCAAGUCGUGUGUUUCCCCCGUGGGUCAACCGACUGUUACGACCUUAACGACUGUUACGACUAUAUGGAAACCAGGUUUAAUGGGGUAGAGGGGGGAGACGCAGUCAUCAUAUGUAAAAUAUAUAACAAUUGACGAUCCCUAAUAAGAAAUAACCCACUUUCGGCGGUCGAGGUGGGUUGCUUGCCUUUGGCGUACCCCUUUAACUACACCCCUCGGAUUACAACUCAGCAAAAAAGAAGAGUUUGCCCAUUUACAGAAGUUUAACAUGUGCUACUUACGCUUGUUACUCUUUUGUAUAUGAACAUCUGAGUUUCCGACUCAGGCCGGACUAUAAUUUUUCCCAGUAAUUUCAACUGUAAUGGUGUAGGUUCUAAUUGACUCUCUAAAUACCAACUCUUCAGGUACUAUUUUACCCGAAAUGCCUAUUUGAAUGUUGUUUUGAUCAUUAUUCAGCGGGAUUCAUGUAUACCUUAACCAUCGUGUGUGAGAGUGUUAAGAAAAAACAUAAAGAGUUUUUAAACCGCCGAGGAUGGUAUAUAUUCGUAGCAUGUUUUGUCCAAACACUCUUAUAAAGGCUCGAUUCUUGUAAAAACAAGAGUGUUCAGGAAAAAUUGACAAGUCUUGAUGGAUGCGUACUAACUAUUCUUUUUCGAAAAAAUCCGACGUCAUUGGUGAAUGAGACUUACUACCACUAAGAAUGAGUUUUAUUCGCCGAGUGACGUUUUCCGCACUUCAAACUUGAUUCUUUUAAUAUUUAGGGUCUGCCCACCUGAAUGUUUGUCCACUUACUCUAACAAUAAUUGGCAAGGUCUCAUCCGUUUACGAGAAAGCAGAUCCCUGAAGUUUAUGUUAACAGCUCUGACCUUCAGAUGCCAUAUCACUACAAUCUAUAAUGUUGCUCUAAUUAAUAACAUACACCCUGGUGUGUUUAAAGAUAAUUACCAAUUCCUCCUUGAAAUAUGUACACGUAAUAAAACCAUUUAUACGAAUGCCGAAAACAACAACCAAGAAGUGUCAAAUAAAACGAAUUAUAGCAUGUACCAACCCCUUGUUAAAAACAAUUUCUUGUUUAUUGACUUGGUUUUAUUAUCAAGUCUGGUUACCUUCUAAACCACAGGUAUCCCAUGUGUUGAAUGUCACAUGGAAUGAAAUGGUAGUGAGUGCGCUCAUUUUAGUGAGCCUUUUGUUAUUAAGGCUUCAAUGAAAAAAAAGACCUGAAAAGAAACAUCAGUAAUCCGCAUAUUUACCAAAAAAUUUUCUUAUUCAUAUUUGAAUUCUGUAAACCAAAUUUUAGGUAUUUUUCCAGGUGAUUUUAUUUUCGAGAAUUCAGACUGAUCUUGCUGUGUAUUUGGUGUCGGAAGCGGCGAAUCAAAUCACGUUAUAUCUUGAGGUACUGUUAUAUUAUCAUGAUCAUUACUUUAACCCCGAUCAUCAUCAUCAGUAUUAUCAUCCAUUUGCCAAAAGUACUUAGUGUAUUGAAUUGGAAACCUUUUCAUUGAAUAGAUUUAUACAUCCAUUAUUCUUACUUUUUUAUGCGUAACAUUGCUCCGUGAAAUAGUUUAUUUAUUGUCUCUCAUUUUAAAGACCAUUAUUUUGGCCAGGAGUCCAUUGAAAGCGCCCCUGUUUUAAUUACAUAAUUUAUCUGAUAAUCUCAAGAUCUCGCGUCGGUGAGGCUCAAAGUGAUUCGAUCUGAUGAGAAGAGCGAGAUUUCUGAUAAUAAUAUACUCUUCCUUUCACGUUUUCCUACAUUAAAUUAGACGCGUUUUGUACGCGUACCCACGCUAAAAUUUCCAGUUACGUUAUUAGCGGCCCUUAGCUCGUUCAACAAAAA